AAGGUGCAGAACUCACUCAGCUCUUCCCCAGGAGGACCAAGCCCUGCGUCAGGUGCAGUGCUGCCUGCCCCACUGUGCCAUGGGCCCCGGGCUCCUCUGCUGGGCGCUGCUUUGUCUCCUGGGAGCAGGCCCAGUGGACGCUGGAGUCACCCAAAGUCCCACACACCUGAUCAAAACGAGAGGACAGCAAGUAACUCUGAGAUGCUCUCCUAUCUCUGGGCACACCAGUGUGUACUGGUACCAACAGGCCCUGGGUCAGGGCCUCCAGUUCAUCCUUUGGUAUGAUGAGGAAGAACAGAGAGACAGAGGAACCUUCCCUCACAGAUUCUCAGGUCGCCAGUUCCCUAACUAUAGCUCUGAGCUGAAUGUGAAUGCCUCGGAGAUGGGGGACUCAGCCCUGUAUCUCUGUGCCAGCAGCUUGGCACAGCCUGGUAGAGUCACUGACAUUCUGUACGUAAACUUCCUGCCUUAG